AUGUUUCCGUUCAAGUUCAAGAGGAAGCAAUUUCCAAUAAGGCUUAGCUUUGCUAUGACCCUUAACAAGGCUCAAGGGCAGGCCAUCCCGAUUGUUGGUGUCUACCUACCCAAUCCCGUGUUCUCACAUGGUCAGCUCUAUGUUGCUUUGUCUCGAGCCACCGCGAAGAGAAACAUAAAGAUACUCAUUCAGAAGGAGAGGCCGAAGGAGAAGGCCAAGAAGCAAAAGGAAAAUCCAAAGAAGCGGAAAAGAACGAUCGUGUCCUUGCUGACCUCGAUGAAGAACAUCGUCUACAAGGAAGUCCUUACAGGCUGA
rnacentral:rRNA from 1 species